rnacentral:rRNA from 1 species
UACGUACCGUACGAACGUUAUUCGGAAUUACUGGGCUUAAAGGGUUUGUAGGCGGCCACGUAAGUCAGGUGUGAAAGCCCUCGGCUCAACCGAGGAACGGCGCUUGAUACUGCGUGGCUUGAGGGAGACAGGGGUAAGCGGAACUGAUGGUGGAGCGGUGAAAUGCGUUGAUAUCAUCAGGAACACCGGUGGCGAAAGCGGCUUACUGGGUCUCUUCUGACGCUGAGGAACGAAAGCUAGGGUAGCGAACGGG